AGGAUAAACGCUGGCGGCGUGCAUGAGACAUGCAAGUCAAACGGGCCUUCAGGGCUUGCUCUGGAGGCCAGUGGCGGACGGCUGAGUAACGCGUAGGUGACCUGCCCCGAAGUGGGGAAUAACUGCCCGAAAGGGUGGCUAAUACCGCAUGUGGUGAUGCGUUCAUUCGCAUCAGUAAAGCCGCAAGGUGCUUCGGGAGGGGCCUGCGUCCGAUUAGCUCGUUGGUGGGGUAACGGCUCACCAAGGCGACGAUCGGUAGGUGGUCUGAGAGGACGAUCACCCAGACUGGGACUGAGACACGGCCCAGACUCCUACGGGAGGCAGCAGUCGGGAAUUUUGCGCAAUGGACGAAAGUCUGACGCAGCAACGCCGCGUGAGGGAUGAAGGCCUUCGGGUUGUAAACCUCUUUUCUCUAGGGAAGAUAGUGACGGUACCUGAGGAAUAAGUCACGGCUAACUACGCGCCAGCAGCCGCGGU
rnacentral:rRNA from 1 species